rnacentral:rRNA from 1 species
AUGUAAAAUUUUAAAGGUCGAACAGACCUAAAUUAUAAAAACCUACUUUUAUAUUUAAUCUUAAUUCAACAUCGAGGUCGCAAACAAUUUUUUUGAUAAGAACUCUAAAAAAUUAUUACGCUGUUAUCCCUAAGGUAACUUAAUUUUUAUUAUAAAAUUUAUAUAACUUAAUAAAAAAUAAAUACAUUAAUUAAUGUUUAAACAAAAGAAAAUUUAAUCAAAUUUCCCAACAGCCCCAGUUAAAUAAAAUAAAUUAAUACAAAAAUUAUAAAAAUAAAAAUCAUGUAAAACUAUUUUAUAAAGAUCUAUAGGGUCUUAUCGUCCCUUAAAUUCAUUUAAACAUUUUUAUUUAAAAUUUAAAUUUUAUUAAUAAAAUUAUAGACAGUUUAUAUUUUAUCUAAUCUUUCAUUCCAGCCUCCAAUUAAGAAACUAAUUAUUAUGCUACCUUCGCACAGUCAAUAUACUGCGGCCAUUUAAAUAUUUAAAUUCAUUGGGCAGAUUGGACUUUUAAUUUUAAACUAAAAGAC